rnacentral:rRNA from 1 species
CGCUCGACAUCAGGAGUUUGAUCCUGGCUCAGGAUGAACGCUGGCGGCGUGCCUAACACAUGCAAGUCGAACGGAGAGUAUUUACGGAAGUUUUCGGAUGGAAGCAGAUAUUUCUUAGUGGCGGACGGGUGAGUAACACGUGGGUAACCUGCCCUAUACAGGGGGAUAGCAGUUGGAAACGACUGGUAAGACCGCAUAAGUCGUCUUUGUUGCAUGACAGAGACGGGAAAUGAGCAAUCAGGUAUAGGAUGGGCCCGCGUCCGAUUAGCCAGUUGGCAGGGUAAGAGCCUACCAAAGCAACGAUCGGUAGCCGGACUGAGAGGUCGGACGGCCACAUUGGGACUGAGACACGGCCCAA